rnacentral:tRNA from 1 species
AUAGGAGUGGCAGAGUAGUGCAUUAGAUUUAGGAUCUAAAUAUGAAGAGGAUAAUCUUUUUCUUAUA